AUAAGAAAUAGUUGAGCGAUACGAAGUAGUUUUUUAUUUAUAUAUCUCUAUAUAUAUAUAUAUAUAUAUCCGUAAAUGUAAAAUACAGGUAAAUUUUGAAAAAAAUGACUGCAUUUCAAAUCAUAUACAAUUGAUUUUCGCUCAGAAUCGUGAUUCUAUACGUAUAGAUAUAGCAAUAGUUAAUUAUUGAGUACAAAUAUAAAUUAAAUAAUUUUAUAUGUCCUACCUUCCAAGUUCCUAUCUACAACAGUGACACAAUCGGUUUCGAUAUUAGCUUUAUUUUUAUUAUUUGUGUUUUAAUUCCUAUUUUAACUUAAACACCACAAUUUAUGUUCUAAUUAACGAAUUUUGACAAUGUACUUGUUAAUCAGUCAGUAGAUGUGGGUUUGGUGUCUUUUUCAUAAAACAUAAUGAAUUAUACAGGACCAGUAUAUUACCU